ACAUAUUAGCUAAUAUAUAUAUAUAGGGUCGAGAUCCGGUGAGAGCCACCCUUUAUGUGAGAACCACCAUCUAUGUGAGAACCAAUACCGGCCAUUAGAUUAUAUGAAAUUCAACGGUUAAGAUUAAAAUACAAAGUUGCCAUUCUCACGAGUCCCUUUCUCCUUUCUCUCUCUUCCUCUCCACUCUCGCGUUUUUCUCCUCUCCGUUCUCAUCUCCUUUCUCUCUCCUCCUCUCCAUUUUCUUCUCACGCAUCUCUCCUCUCAUCAACACAAUAACCACCGGCCACAACAACCACGGUAACCCAUCAAGCAGACCCCACCAAGCAACAACACCGACAACAAACCCACCGAGCAGCCCCCAACACAGCAAACCACCGAGCAUCACCGACUCACCGAGCAAGUACCACCAAGCAACAACGCAAUACCAACAACAACACCGACGAGGCGACACCCACCGAGCACCGCCAGCGUUUUUCAGAUCUAAUUUUAUUUUAGACUAGUUUGCUUGGCGGCAGCGACAGUGGUGGUGGCGAUGGUAAAGUGGUGGGUGAUUGGUGGCCAAAAUCGCGUCAAAUAGCCGUAUGAUCCACCAUUACUAUUACCACUAUAUAGGUCAAUGAAGUUGAGGAAAUCAUGGUGGAAGAAGCUUUUGGUUGCUUGGGUUGUAUUUUGGAUCAUAUUUUGUUUUGGGGUGUUUUAGUUUAUGAGUCCAUACGCUGUUGAAAAAAGUAAAGAAAGCCUUACUAGUAUGUGUGAUGAAAGGGCUAGGAUGUUGCAAGAUCAAUUUAAUGUUAGUAUGAAUCAUAUUCAAGCUAUGUCCAUAUUAAUUAAUUUCUACUUUUCAUCAUGGCGAGUAUCCAUCUGCUAUUGAUCAGGUAUAAAUCUAUUUGAAUUCUAUUUUUUUAGCUAAUAUUUGAUGAUUUUGUGUAUUA